GGCCCAAUUUUGAUGUAGAGUAGAUUAGUAGGAUCAGCUGGCCAUAUUAAUCUAUUCUACUUUAGGCUUGCGCCU
rfam:Haemonchus placei strain MHpl1 genome assembly, scaffold: HPLM_scaffold0000249